rnacentral:lncRNA from 1 species
UUUAUCAGUCAGGGGACUUACUUAAACAAGUGAUUUUCUAAAUCACUGAUUCAAGUAACAUUAUUUCCAUAAAGGUUGGAAGUUAGAGUUGUCUUUCUUUAAUAAUCACCUAUUUAAGUAGUACAAAUUAAUCACUAGAAGAAGUGAUUUAAUAUUAGUGUAGCUUUAAAUAUAGAAUACUAAUGAUCCAGGGACUAAUUAUGUUUCUAAACUUAUCAGAAC